AAUGAAAGAACAUGGUUCAUAGGAUCUUCUGUCCAGAGAGGCAGAAAGGAACCAUAGUGGUUAAUCCAAUUUUUUCCUUGCUUUAGAAAAGAUGUAAUGCAGCACACAAUUAUACUCCUGCCCCAGUAAAUGACAAGAACCAUCAAAUUUCCUGAGAAAAACUAAGAUCUGAUUCCUUCAAUAGUCUUAGAAGUGAUACCUUCUCUUCCCAGAAUGAAGGGGGCCACAGGAGUGUCAAGAUUAAGAAGAUGAGCAAUUAAACCAUUACUGGCUAUUUCGGCACUUUUACCUGAAGGAAGCCUCAGAAUCUUAAAGAAACUUAUAUUCAAAUCUAACCAACCAUGGAUUGCUGUAAAACAAUGCGUCAGUCCUGGAUUUUCCCCACCACCAUCCUCUGUGUCUAUGGGUUUUUCUCCAUGAUGAGACCAUCAGAACCAUUUUUUGUACCUUACUUAACUGGACCAGAUAAAAAUCUAACCCUCAGUGAGGUCUCCAAUCAUAUGUUUCCAGUUUGGACUUACUCUUAUUUGGUGCUGCUAUUCCCUGUGUUUGUGCUGACUGAUUAUCUUCGGUAUAAGCCCAUCAUCAUCUUACAAGGAAUUAGCUAUCUGAUUACCUGGUUGUUGCUUUUAUUUGCCCAAGGAUUAUUAGCCAUGCAAAUUGUGGAAUUUUUCUAUGGGUUGGUCACAGCCACGGAGGUAGCUUAUUACUCCUACAUUUACAGUGUGGUCAGUGUGGAACACUACCAGAAAGUAACAAGUUACUGUAGAAGUAUCACGCUAGUGGCGUACACUGCCGCUUCUGUGCUGGCACAGCUUUUGGUCUCCCUGGCACACGUAUCUUACUUUUAUCUCAAUGUUAUAACCAUAGCUUCUGUGUCAUUGGCAUUUGUUUUCACAUUUUUCCUGCCAAUGCCCCAGAAAAGCAUGUUCUUCCAUAAAAAGGUGGAAGAAGGAAGUCCUCAAGAGUCAUCAGACAAAUAUGUCACAGCACUAGAGGUGCCUGAUAAUGAAAACACAUCAUUCAGCCAAGAAAACGGCACCACUUCAGAAUCAUUGGCCAGAUCAGAAAGACAGCAACAAAGCCAGUCAACUAACCAUCAACAAAGAAACCUGGUGCUGAGAGUAUUUCUACAAUGCUGGCAAGACUUGAAGGAGUGCUACUUGAGCAAACAUCUUCUUAUUUGGUCCAUUUGGUGGGCUUCUUCCACAGCCGGCUAUAACCAAGUAUUAAACUAUAUCCAGCUUCUGUGGGACCACAAGGCACCAUCUCAAACCUCUGAUGUUUACAAUGGAGCCGUAGAAGCUAUUUCAACAUUUGGAGGUGCAGUGGCAGCUUUUGGGGUGGGAUAUGUGAAAAUCAACUGGAAUCUUUUGGGAGAGUUGGCUUUAGGAAUCUUUUCAGCCAUAGAUGCUGGAUCACUAUUCCUCAUGCAUUUCACCAGCAACAUCUGGGUGUGUUAUGCUGCCUUUUUGAUUUUCAAAUCAAGUUACAUGCUUCUCAUAACCAUCACAGUAUUUCAGAUUGCAAUGAACCUCAACAUGGAGCGCUAUGCUUUAGUUUUUGGAGUCAAUACCUUCUUGGCCUUGGUAAUUCAGACUAUAAUGACAUUAAUUAUAGUUGAUUCCAGAGGUCUGAAUCUAUCCAUCAGCAUUCAGUUCCUAAUUUAUGGAAGCUACUUCUUAGUCAUCGCUGGAAUUUUCUUAGUGAGAAGCAUUUAUAUAAUCUAUUUCGCCAAAUGCAAAAAAAGGGAAAUAGAUACUGUGGCCAAUCCAAACUCAAAUGAAGCAACACCAGAGGAAUGUAUCGAAUCAACACAGCUUUAGCUCUGCCCACAUCGGUCUGUUUUUUUGCAAAAAAUUAUUUUGACUGAAAAUUUUUGAAAACUGGUUGAUCACCAUGAAUCAAAAGAUAUGAAGUGACUAGAUUCUGGUGAGCCUUUUCUAAACUACCAUUUGUCUCAGUCCCACUGGACCAGGUCUUUAUUUGGCCCCAGAUCAAAUUGGGUGCUCCUAAGAGAUUCAGCUGAUUAAUCCAUCCUUUCUACAUGGACUCAGUGAAGAACAGAGAUCUCCCAAUCCCCAAUGCAGCACUCACAAGCUACGGGGUCAGGACAACUAAAGCUUUUUGACAACCUAAGGAGCUGAUGUGAGCAUUCUUUCUGUCUUCAUAAAUUUCUAAAUGGACCAGCCAGAAUUUCCUCCCAACAGAUGUCUAAUUUUGCCAAAACAAACAACUCCCAUGAAAAUGUUCAUCAUUGCCUCAUUCUUCCUCCCCGGUCAAAGUCAGGUUUUCCUGACUUAUAUCAGGGAUGAGAACAUUCAUUGGGCCUUAGAGGAAAGUGAAAAGGGCUACUUCAAGAUGCAGUGGGAUUCCCCAAGUUGGAAGUCUUCUUACAAAAGUUGGAUUACCCAUUGCUGGAUACAUAGUGGGAAUUCUUCUUUUUUCUGUUAUGGGUUGGUCCAUUACAGGUAUCAGACAUGCUGCUAUAGAACCAUUAUGCCAAGCCUGAGGGUAACAGAACAAAAAUAAACAAUGGCAGAGACCUUCAUAAGUUACAGUCUAAUGGGGGAGAUAAUAUACAACAACAAAACUUAAAAAUAAGAGAAAAGGGGAAAGGAAGCUAUUCAGGAACAUGAUGAAGCAUGUUGGGAUGGAGAAAUCCAAAGGAGUGCAAGAGGGUGGGAAAGGAAGAAUUGGCUGAUCUAGGCAGAGGAGGAGUAGAAGGAGAAUAGUUAUGAUGACAAGCACUGUCUUCUAAGUAGAAAGAAAGGGGUGAGGCAAAUUGCAGGAGAUAAACAGAAGGGAUGAAAUAAGGCAUGUUAAGAACUUAAUUAAGCAGAGAGCUAACAGGAGUCCUUUUCAACCUCUUUACAGACUUUGUCCACUAAAAGUCACUUUUAUCCAGUAAAUCCUUUAUUCUGAGAUGUCUCCUCAAAUCCCCCUCCAAAUUGGAGGGGGGGAGUAUAACUAUUCACAGUAGUUUAUCACAUAAUACCAAAAUACAUGAGUCUCAUAAUGUUGUACUUGGCCCUUAUGUGAUCCUGGUGAAAAUGGAUCAAUGUCUAUGUCUCCAUAGACACUCUGGUUGCUGGACUUAGCGGGGAAAGGGAACCUGGGCUGUUUUAGUAUGAAAUGGGAUGUUUCAGGAAGGAAGAAGCUUCCCAUUAGCACAAUUCUUUGAUCAGCAGAGUAACCACCUAUCAGUGAUGCUAUAGAGCAGAUGACUGUGUUGUUGAGAACUGAGACCAAGCAGCCUUAAAAGACCUCUCUACCUCAAGAUCCCAUAUUUCUCUUUCAUUACGUGAUCUCUCAAAGCCCCUUUCAGAAUAUAAUUCUAUGAAAAAGAGGCUGGUUACUGCAAACGGGAGGAAAGGUAAAAAAAUAUAUAUUUAAUUCAGAUGCUUUUAAACUAAUAGGCUGAUUUCACUUUUUCAGAAAGGCUAUUGCCUCCUGAGAAUACUGUGAUAUUUUGUCAUUUGGGUAAAUUAAAUCAACGAUUAUGGAAAGGGUUAAGACAUAGUACAGAAAAAAGCAAUUUCUUAUAGUGAAAGCUAGCAAUUUCUUAAUCGAACCCUCUCCUGUUUCUGUGUGUAGGCAUAAGUCAUUUCAUACUUUUGGAAUGCUUUCUUUCCUUAAAUCUUUCUCCUUCAAAACCUAGUACGGGUACUGUUUUCUUCAUUGAGCUUUUCCCUACUUCUUUCCUCCAUUCACUGUACUCCCACACCCAUGUCAGCUAAAAGUGUUUCAUCAGAUAUUUCCAGAGCAUUUUGGUUUUUUGUUUGUUUGUUUGUUUUUUGUUUUGAACCUAUCACAUUCUACUUUGUAUGUCAAGGAUGUAUUAGUAAAUAUUUAACAAUAGCUUUCUGGAAGAAGACAUGGAAAUAUAAGUAUGAUACACUAGCAGAUUUACUCUAUAUCUUUAGCUUUUUCUUCACUUUCUGAGGUCCAGACAAUCAACAAAAUAAUAAGCCAAAUUUCCAAAGAGUAAAUAAUCACACUGAAAUUUUUUUUUUUAUUACAGCUUUUUAUUUACAAGAUAUAUGCAUGGGUAAUUUAUCAGCAUUGAUCCUUGCAAAACCUUCUGUUUCAACUUUUCCCCUCCUUGCCCCCAUCUCCUCCCCUAGAUGGCAGGUAGUCCCAUACAUGUUAAAUAUGUUAAAGUAUCUGUUAAAUACAAUACAUGUAUACAUAUUUAUACAGUUAUCUUGCUGCACAAGAAAAAAUCGGAUUUAGAAAUAAGGUAAAAAUAACCUGAAAAGGAAAACAAAAAUGCAAGCGGACAAUAACAGAAGGAGUGGAAAUGCUAUGUUGUGGUCCACAUAACAUAGUUCCCAUAGUUCUUUCGCUGGAUGUAGCUGGUGCUGUUCCUCACUGAUUAAUUGGUACUGAAUUGGAUCCUCUCAUUACUGAACAUAGCCAGGUCUGUCAGAAUUGAUCCUCAUAUAGUAUUUUUUUUUUUUAGAUAACUUUUUAUUGAUAGAACUCAUGCCAGGGUAAUUUUUUACAAUAUUAUCCCUUGCAUUCACUUCUGUUCCGAUUUUUCCCCUCCCUCCUUCCACCCCCUCCUCCAGAUGGCAAGCAAUCCUUUACAUAUUGAAUAGGUUACAGUAUAUCCUGGAUACAAUACACGUGUGCAGAACCGAACAGUUUUCUUGUUGCACAGGGAGAAUUCAGAAGGUAUAAAUAAUCCGGGAAGAAAAACACAAAUGCAAGCAGUUUAUAUUUAUCUCCCAGUGUUCUUUCUUUUUCCAUCAGAAUACAUCCUCAAACAGUAUCAUUGUUGAGGUAUAUAAUGAUCUCCUGGUUCUGCUCAGUUCACUUAGUAUCAGUUCAUGUAAGUCUCUCCAGUCCUCUCUGUAUUCAUCCUGCUGGUCAUUCCUUACAGAACAAUACUAUUCCAUAACGUUCAUAUACCACAAUUUACUCAACCAUUCUCCAAUUGAUGGGCAUCCAUUCAUUUUCCAGCUUCUAGCCACUACAAACAGGGCUGCCACAAACAUUUUGGCACAUACAGGUCCCUUUCCCUUCUUUAGUAUCUCUUUGGGAUAUAAGCCCACUAGAAACACUGCUGGAUCAAAGGGUAUGCACAGUUUGAUAACUUUUUGAGUAGUUCCAAAUUGUUCUCCAGAAUGGCUGGAUGUGUUCACAAUUCCACCAACAAUGUAUCAGUGUCCCUGUUUUCCCACAUCCCCUCCAACAUUACACAUUAUCUUUCCCUGUCACUCUAGCCAAUCUGACAGAUGUGUAGUGGUAUCUCAGAGUUGUCUUAAUUUGCAUUUCUCUGAUUAAUAAUGAUUUGGAGUAUAUUUUCAUAUGUCUAUAAAAAGUUUCAAUUUCUUUGUCUGAGAAUUGUCUGUUCAUAUCCUUUGACCGUUUAUCAAUUGGAGAAUGGUUAGUAUUGUUGUUGAAGUGUAUAAUGAUCUCCUGGUUCUGCUCAUUUCACUCAGCAUCAGUUCAUGUAAGUUUCUCCAGAUCUCUCUGUAUUUAUCCUGCUAGUCAUUUUUUACCGAACAAUAAUAUUCAUAUACCACAAUUUAUUCAGCCAUUCUCCAAUUGAUGGGCAUCCACUCAUUUUCCAGUUUCUAGCCACUACAAACAGGGCUGCCACAAACAUUUUUGCACAUGUGGAUCCCUUUCCCUUUAAGAUCUCUAUGGGACAUAAGCCCAGUAGAAACAUUGCUAGAUCAAAGGGUAUGCACUGUUACAUAACUUUUUGAGCAUAGAUCCAAAUUACUCUCCAGAAUGGUUGGAUCCAUUCACAAUUCCACCAAAAAUGUAUCAGUCACACUGAAAACUUGACAACUGCCCAGAGACCAAUUUGAGCUGACUCCAGCAGGUCCUAUACCAGUAGCUUGUAAAUUUGAGGGCAGAGACUGUGAUGUAAUUCAUAUGGGCAAGGACAGGGUUUAGGGAGGGGGACAUUGUUGGCCAUUUGGCUAAUGGCCACAGGGCUUAAAUGGUGGUAUAAAACUUUAGAUUAUCCUUCUCUAGUCUUUCUUCAAGGCACAUUUUGAUUCCUUCCAGGAAGAACUGAGAGGUUGGCCACUCUGCUCUCUUCAGAGAGUUUGAGAGAGAGUAUUAUUCUAAAAUCAUAUCUAUGUGCCCCUGAUUGUUAGACUAGGAAAAAUAACCUAAGUUCAAGCUGAGAUCCUUAAUUACCGUCCCUUAAUAGGAAAGGAAUGAUCCAAGCUAAAUAUUCAAGUGUUGACUCCCCACUAAAUGGAGGUUCAUAAAGAAUAUGUGUAGCAAAUAGCAAAUAAAACACAUCCAAGCAAAUAGAAAUAGCAAAAGAUAUACAGAUGAGAAUAUGUACCAGACAAUGUAGAGAAUGAAUAAGCAUUCACACUGGAAAUAAAUUAUUUCUACUCGACCAAAAUUAAGAGAAAAUACUAGAAGUCACUCAAAGGAAAAUGUCCCAAAGUCUUUAAUAUCUAGAAGUAGGGACAUGAUUGAAGUGCUGAGUCCUCUACAUGAUGGCUACAGUCUUUCUCUCCCUUCAGGAACCUGAAGAGAAUCUGGAAUCCUAUAUAUUUUUCCUCAAAACUGAAACUCAGAUAACUAAGAUCUUUCUUCUCUCAAAUUCUUGCCAACUUUAAGCCUGUAGAACUGAGUAAUAAAUCUCUACCAAGGAUGAUGGCCCCAUGCGAAUAGAUUUUGAGUUGUGGGUUACACUUGUUUCUUUAAUAUGAUUGAGUUGAAUAAAUUAACCCCUUUGUUUUCUUCAA